rnacentral:lncRNA from 1 species
GGAAGACAGCUGCAAUGGGGGGCCCAAGAAAGGGUGGGUGAAAAAUCAAAUAGAAGAUUCUGGGAUCCAUAAAGAUGAACAAUAUGGUUUUCUAAACCCAGGGGCUUCUAUGUUUUGUGUGUGAAUAAAGGAUCGAACAAGAUUAUACAUGAAAUCUCACCAUCUCCAUGUUCAUCUGAAAUAUGAACAUGGCAGUGGGGUGAACGGAGGAACAAGUCUUUGGGCAGAAGACGGAGACCCUAACAUCCAUGUAAACUUUACAAAACCUUUGCCACCUUGCAUCACAACUUAAGUGUGACAAUCAUGAAACCCAGAGCGCAGCAAAGGCUGGAUAAAUCACUUCGUUAUUAUUGUCGCUGUCCCUACUGGAAAGAAAACCAGGUGCUUCCCAGGCCACUUCAACUGUUUUUGUCACGUGCACAAGUGGCCCGGCAUGGCCUGGCUCCUGGAUACCUUGCUAAGCUGUGCCUUAUCCCUUAUUA